rnacentral:rRNA from 1 species
AUUGAACGCUGGCGGCAUGCCUUACACAUGCAAGUCGAACGGCAGCACGGGAGCAAUCCUGGUGGCGAGUGGCGAACGGGUGAGUAAUAUAUCGGAACGUGCCCAGUCGUGGGGAUAACGUAGCGAAAGCUACGCUAAUACCGCAUACGAUCUAUGGAUGAAAGCGGGGGAUCGCAAGACCUCGCGCGAUUGGAGCGGCCGAUAUCAGAUUAGGUAGUUGGUGAGGUAAAGGCUCACCAAGCCGACGAUCUGUAGCUGGUCUGAGAGGACGACCAGCCACACUGGGACUGAGACACGGCCCAGACUCCUACGGAGGCAGCAGUGGGGAAUUUUGGACAAUGGNGCAAGCCUGAUCCAGCAAUGCGCCGUGCAGGAUG